AUUGAACGCUGGCGGCAUGCCUUACACAUGCAAGUCGAACGGUAACAGGUCUUCGGAUGCUGUCGAGUGGCGCACGGGUGAGUAAUACAUCGGAACGUGCCCGAUCGUGGGGGAUAACGGAGCGAAAGCUUUGCUAAUACCGCAUACGAUCUACGGAUGAAAGCAGGGGACCGCAAGGCCUUGCGCGGACGGAGCGGCCGAUGGCAGAUUAGGUAGUUGGUGGGAUAAAAGCUUACCAAGCCGACGAUCUGUAGCUGGUCUGAGAGGACGACCAGCCACACUGGGACUGAGACACGGCCCAGACUCCUACGGGAGGCAGCAGUGGGGAAUUUUGGACAAUGGGCGAAAGCCUGAUCCAGCCAUGCCGCGUGCAGGAUGAAGGCCUUCGGGUUGUAAACUGCUUUUGUACGGAACGAAAAGACUCUUUCUAAUAAAGAGAGUCCAUGACGGUACCGUAAGAAUAAGCACCGGCUAACUACGUG
rnacentral:rRNA from 1 species